CGUGAGGGAAAGGUGAAAAGAACCCCGGGAGGGGAGUGAAAUAGAACCUGAAACUAUGUGCUUACAAGCGGUCAGAGCCCGCAAGGGUGAUGGCGUGCCUUUUGGAGAAUGAUCCUGCGAGUUACGUUCAGUGGCAAGGUUAAGUUUAACGGAGCCGAAGGGAAACCGAGUCUGAACAGGGCGAUUUUAGUCGCUGGGCGUAGACGCGAAACCUGGUGAUCUAAGCCUGUCCAGGGUGAAGCUGUGGUAAGACACAGUGGAGGCCCGAACUCACCGCCGUUGAAAAGUUGGGAGAUGAGGUAGGUUUAGGGGUGAAAAGCCAAUCGAACUAGGAGAUAGCUCGUUCUCUCCGAAAUGCAUUUAGGUGCAGCCUUGAGUGUUUAAUUAUGGGGGUAGAGCACUGAAUGGACUAGGGGGCGCAUUGCUUACUGAAUCCAAUCAAACUCCGAAUACCAUAAUUCAAGAGCUCAGGAGUGAGACUAUGGGAAUUAACUUCCAUUGUCAAAAGGGAAACAACCCAGACCACCAGCUAAGGUCCCUAAUCAUAACUAAGUGGGAAAGGAGGUGGAGAUUCAUAAACAACCAGGAGGUUGGCUUAGAAGCAGCCAUACCUUUAAAGAGUGCGUAAUAGCUCACUGGUCGAGAGUCUCUGCGCCGACAAUGUAACGGGGCUAAGUUAUGAACCGAAGCUGUGGAAUUGCGCAAGCAAUUGGUAGGAGAGCGUUCUGUAGGCCGUUGAAGGAGAAGCGUAAGCAACUCUGGAGGUAUCAGAAGUGAGAAUGCAGGAAUAAGUAGCGAGAAGGGAGGCGAGAAUCCUCCCCGCCGGAAGACCAAGGUUUUCAGGGUAAAGCUUGUCUUCCCUGAGUAAGCCGGGACCUAAGCCGAGGCUAUAGUGCGUAGGCGAAUGGAAAACAGAUUAAUAUUUCUGUGCCAGUCAUAUUUUGUGAUGGAGGGACGCAGAAGGGUAUGUACGCGGAAGAACGGUAGUUUCCGUAAAAGCAUGUAGAAUGACUUGAUAGGUAAAUCCGUCAAGUUAGAUUUGAGGUGUGAUAUAUAGUCGUAAGAUGAAUGUACAAAUCCCACGCUGCCGAGAAAAGCUUCUAACGUUAAGGUAUGACUGCCCGUACCCGAAACCGACACAGGUGGUCAGGAUGAGAAAUCUAAGGCGGACAGGCUAACUCUCGUUAAGGAACUCUGCAAAAUUGCCCCGUAACUUCGGGAGAAGGGGUGCCCCUGAGUGUGAGCAUACACGCGAUGUUAAGCGCUUGGGGGUCGCAGUGAAGAGGCUCAAGCAACUGUUUAACAAAAACACAGGUCUAUGCUAAGCUGUAAGGCGAUGUAUAUGGGCUGACACCUGCCCAGUGCCGGAAGGUUAAGAGGAGGAGUGAGAGCUCCGAAUUGAAGCCCCGGUGAACGGCGGCCGUAACUAUAACGGUCCUAAGGUAGCGAAAUUCCUUGUCGGGUAAGUUCCGACCUGCACGAAUGGUGUAAUGAUUUGAGCGCUGUCUUGACGGGAGGCCUGGUGAAAUUGUAUUACCGGUGAAGAUACCGGUUACCUACAGUAGGACGGAAAGACCCCAUGGAGCUUUACUGUAGCUUGGUAUUGGGUUUUGGCAUUGCAUGUAUAGGAUAGUUGGGAAACUAUGAUGGUAUGGCGCUAGCUAUAUCGGAGUUGUCGGUGGAAUACCAACCAUUCAAUGUUGAAAUUCUAAUCUGUGGUUUGGAGCCACGGAGACAGUGCUAGGUGGGCAGUUUGACUGGGGCGGUCGCCUCCGAAAGAGUAACGGAGGCGUUCAAAGGUUCUCUCAGGUUGGAUGGAAAUCAACCGCAGAGUGCAAUGGCAUAAGAGAGCUUGACUGCGAGACUGACGGGUCGAGCAGGUGCGAAAGCAGGACAUAGUGAUCCGGCGAUUCCGAAUGGAAGGAUCGUCGCUCAACGGAUAAAAGCUACCCUGGGGAUAACAGGCUGAUCCUACCCGAGAGUCCAUAUCGACGGUAGGGUUUGGCACCUCGAUGUCGGCUCAUCGCAUCCUGGGGCUGGAGAAGGUCCCAAGGGUUGGGCUGUUCGCCCAUUAAAGCGGUACGUGAGCUGGGUUCAGAACGUCGUGAGACAGUUCGGUCCCUAUCCACUGUAGGCGUUAGAAUAUUGAGAAGAUCUGUCCUUAGUACGAGAGGACCGGGAUGGACAAACCUCUGAUGUACCAGUUGUCACGCCAGUGGCACAGCUGGGUAGUCACGUUUGGAACAGAUAACCGCUGAAAGCAUCUAAGCGGGAAACUGACUUCAAGAUAAGUAUUCU
rnacentral:rRNA from 1 species